GUUUCUGACCUAUCAGCUUUCGACGGUAUGGUAUUGGCUUACCGUGGCAGUGACGGUUAACGGGGGAUUAGGGUUCGAUUCCGGAGAGGGAGCCUGAGAAACGGCUACCACAUCUAAGGAAGGCAGCAGGCGCGCAAAUUACCCAAUUCUAACAGUUUGAGAGAGGUAGUAACAAGAAAUAACAAUACAAGGCAGUUAAAAUGCUUUGUAAUUGGAAUGAUAGAAAUUUAAACCCUUUUUAAAGUAUCAAUUGGAGGGCAAGUCUGGUGCCAGCAGCCGCGGUAAUUCCAGCUCCAAUAGCGUAUAUUAAAAUUGUUGCAGUUAAAAAGCUCGUAGUUGAAGUUCUGCUAAAAGUAACCGGUCUGCUUUUAAUAAAAGUGGUAUCUUGGUAUGUAUUUAGCAAUGAUGUCCUUUGAAGUGUUUUUUACUUUAUUGUAAUAAAGCAUAUUCAGGACUUUUACUUUGAGAAAAUUAGAGUGUUUCUAGCAGGCCGACGCUUUGAAUACUGCAGCAUGGAAUAAUAAGAUAGGAUUUUAGUUCUACAUUGUUGGUUUUAAGAGCUAAAUUAAUGAUUGAUAGGGACAGUUGGGGGCAUUUGUAUUUAACUGUCAGAGGUGAAAUUCUUAGAU
rnacentral:rRNA from 1 species